ACGGGUGAGUAACGCGUGGGAAUCUACCCAUCACUACGGAAUAACUCAGGGAAACUUGUGCUAAUACCGUAUACGCCCUUCGGGGGAAAGAUUUAUCGGUGAUGGAUGAGCCCGCGUUGGAUUAGCUAGUUGGUGGGGUAAAGGCCUACCAAGGCGACGAUCCAUAGCUGGUCUGAGAGGAUGAUCAGCCACAUUGGGACUGAGACACGGCCCAAACUCCUACGGGAGGCAGCAGUGGGGAAUAUUGGACAAUGGGCGCAAGCCUGAUCCAGCCAUGCCGCGUGUGUGAUGAAGGCCUUAGGGUUGUAAAGCACUUUCACCGGAGAAGAUAAUGACGGUAUCCGGAGAAGAAGCCCCGGCUAACUUCGUGCCAGCAGCCGCGGUAAUACGAAGGGGGCUAGCGUUGUUCGGAAUUACUGGGCGUAAAGCGCACGUAGGCGGAUCGAUCAGUCAGGGGUGAAAUCCCGCAGCUCAACUGCGGAACUGCCUUUGAUACUGUCGGUCUAGAGUAUGGAAGAGGUGAGUGGAAUUCCAAGUGUAGAGGUGAAAUUCGUAGA
rnacentral:rRNA from 1 species